rnacentral:rRNA from 1 species
UGGGGAAUAUUGCACAAUGGGCGCAAGCCUGAUGCAGCGACGCCGCGUGGGGGAUGACGGCCUUCGGGUUGUAAACUCCUUUCGCCAGGGACGAAGCGUUUUGUGACGGUACCUGGAGAAGAAGCACCGGCUAACUACGUGCCAGCAGCCGCGGUAAUACGUAGGGUGCAAGCGUUGUCCGGAAUUAUUACUGGGCGUAAAGAGCUCGUAGGUGGUUUGUCACGUCGUCUGUGAAAUUCCACAGCUUAACUGUGGGCGUGCAGGCGAUACGGGCUGACUUGAGUACUGUAGGGGUAACUGGAAUUCCUGGUGUAGCGGUGAAAUGCGCAGAAUAUCAGGAGGAACACCGAUGGCGAAGGCAGGUUACUGGGCAGUUACUGACGCUGAGGAGCGAAAGCAUGGGUAGCAAACAGGAUUAGAUACCCUGGUAGUCCAUGCCGUAACGGUGGGCGCUAGGUGUAGGGGCCUUUUGGGGUUUCUGUGCCGUAGCUAACGCAUUAAGCGCCCCGCCUGGGGAGUACGGCCGCAAAGCU